rnacentral:rRNA from 1 species
UACGUAGGGUGCGAGCGUUGUCCGGAAUUAUUGGGCGUAAAGGGCUCGUAGGCGGUUUGUCGCGUCGGGAGUGAAAACGCCGUGCUUAACACGGCGCUUGCUUUCGAUACGGGCAGACUAGAGGUAUGCAGGGGAGAACGGAAUUCCUGGUGUAGCGGUGAAAUGCGUAGAUAUCAUUUGGAACGCCAAUGGUGAAAACAGGUAGCUGGGGCUGUGCUGACACUGAGACACGAAAGCCAGGGGAGCAAACGGG